CCUGGCGGCCAUAACGCGGGGGGACCACCUGAACCCAUGCCGAACUCAGAAGUGAAACGCCGUAGCGCCGAUGGUAGUGUGGGGCCUCCCCAUGCGAGAGUAGGACACUGCCAGGC
rnacentral:rRNA from 1 species